rnacentral:tRNA from 1 species
AAAGAAUUAGUUAAAAAAUAACAUUUAAAUGUCAAUUAAAAAUUAUUAAAUCCUUAUUAUUCUUUA